rnacentral:rRNA from 1 species
UACGGGGGGGGCAAGCGUUGUUCGGAAUUACUGGGCGUAAAGGGCUCGUAGGUGGCCAACUAAGUCAGACGUGAAAUCCCUCGGCUUAACCGGGGAACUGCGUCUGAUACUGGAUGGCUUGAGGUUGGGAGAGGGAUGCGGAAUUCCAGGUGUAGCGGUGAAAUGCGUAGAUAUCUGGAGGAACACCGGUGGCGAAGGCGGCAUCCUGGACCAAUUCUGACGCUGAGGAGCGAAAGCCAGGGGAGCAAACGGG